rnacentral:rRNA from 1 species
AGAACGAACGCUGGCGGCAGGCUUAACACAUGCAAGUCGAACGGUUGUAGCAAUACAGCAGUGGCGCGCGGGUGAGUAACGCGUGGGAACAUCCCUUUCAGUCGGGAAUAACAGCGGGAAACUGCUGCUAAUACCUGAUACUCCCUCCGGGGGAAAGAUUUAUCGCUGAAAGAUUGGCCCGCGUCAGAUUAGCUAGUUGGUGGGGUAACGCCUACCAAGGCUCCGAUCUGUAGCUGGUCUGAGAGGACGACCAGCCACACUGGAACUGAGACACGGUCCAGACUCCUACGGGAGGCAGCAGUGGGAAUUUUGCGCAAUGGGGGAAACCCUGACGCAGCAACGCCGCGUGGAGGAUGAAAUCCCUUGGGAUGUAAACUCCUUUCGAUAGGGAAGAUAAUGACGGUACCUAUAGAAGAAGCCCCGGCUAACUUCGUGCCAGCAGCCGC